GUUUGAUCCUGGCUCAGAACGAACGCUGGCGGCAUGCCUAACACAUGCAAGUCGAACGAGACUUCGGUCUAGUGGCGGACGGGUGAGUAACGCGUAGGAACCUGCCAAGCAGUGGGGAAUAACAGCUGGAAACGGCUGCUAAUACCGCAUACGCCCUUCGGGGGAAAGAUUUAUCGCUGUUUGAGGGUCCUGCGUUCGAUUGGCUAGUUGGUGAGGUAACGGCCCACCAAGGCGACGAUCGAUAGCUGGUCUGAGAGGAUGAUCAGCCACACUGGGACUGAGACACGGCCCAGACUCCUACGGGAGGCAGCAGGUGGGGAAUAUUGGACAAUGGGGGAAACCCUGAUCCAGCAAUGCCGCGUGCGUGAAGAAGGCCUUAGGGUUGUAAAGCGCUUUCACCUGUGAUGAUGAUGACAGUAGCAGGAGAAGAAGCCCCGGCUAACUCCGUG
rnacentral:rRNA from 1 species